rfam:Catenaria anguillulae PL171 BCR44scaffold_47, whole genome shotgun sequence.
UGGGGUUUAGCUCAGUUGGUAGAGCGCGCGCUUCGCAUGCGUGAGGCCAGGGGUUCGAUUCCCCUAACCUCCA